rnacentral:rRNA from 1 species
UACGAGGGGGGCGAGCGUUGUUCGGAAUUAUUGGGCGUAAAGGGUGCGUAGGCGGUCGGGGUAAGUCUGAUGUGAAAUCUCACAGCUUAACUGUGAAACUGCAUUGGAUACUAUUCGGCUUGAGAGUUGGAGGGGGGACUGGAAUUCUUGGUGUAGCAGUGAAAUGCGUAGAUAUCAAGAGGAACACCAGUGGCGAAGGCGAGUCCCUGGACAACUUCUGACGCUGAGGCACGAAAGCUAGGGGAGCAAACAGG